AGCAGCCGCGGUAAUUCCAGCUCCAAUAGCGUAUAUUAAAGUUGCUGCAGUUAAAAAGCUCGUAGUUGAAUUUCGGGACCAUCAUGUUGGUCGUGCCUCGGUACGUACUGGCAUUGUUGGUUUCUCCCUUCUGACGAACCAUGAUGUCAUUUAUUUGGUGUCGUGGGAAAUCAGGACUGUUACUUUGAAAAAUUAGAGUGUUUAAAGCAGGCUCACGCUUGAAUACAUUAGCAUGGAAUAAUGAAAUAGGACGUUUGAUUCUAUUUUGUUGGUUUCUAGGAUCGACGUAAUGAUUAAUAGGGAUAGUUGGGGGCAUUAGUAUUCAAUUGUCAGAGGUGAAAUUCUUGGAUUUAUUGAAGACUAACUACUGCGAAAGCAUUUGCCAAGGAUGUUUUCAUUAAUCAAGAACGAAAGUUAGGGGAUCGAAGACGAUCAGAUACCGUCGUAGUCUUAACCAUAA
rnacentral:rRNA from 1 species